ensembl:lncRNA
CAGCAGCAUAAAAGUUAAACUGUAAUAAUUAGUCUGAAAGUAUUAAAAAAUAAAUAGCUUUGUAAGGAAGCUACAACAAUAGCAUCGUAGAGACCUUCAUUGAAGGGAUAGAAUGCUUUGAUAUCAGAUUUACAUCUUUUCUCCUUUAAAUACAUCCUGGAAUGCUAUAUUAUGACAUACCUAUCGAGUGAACAUCUGAAAACAAAGGUGUUCUUAACUAACAACACAUAAUGGUUGGAGAGAUCGCUCCCUCGUUAUCUCCAUCACCCAAUUCAUUUUCAGUUAAAUAAGGCAAGACUGUUAAAACAGGAAUUCAACUGGCAAAUAUUUAGUCAAUUAAACAUUUUGAUAUAGCUAUUAACUAAAAUGACUGUUAAACUCAUUCAGUUGUUGCUUUUAAACUAAUCUUCAUUGUUGAGAAAGUGGAAAUUACCUAGUAGGUCAAAGAUACAAUAACCUCUAUUUCUACCUAACAGAAGACAUGGUGACCAAUACCACUUUCUGUUUCUGAAUUGUAUAGUUUAGACUUUUAGACUUACAUUUUCUACAUAAAUAACAAAGAGCUUUGAUUCAUACAGUACAUGUACAUCAUGACAGUAGGUGCUAUGCAUGCUUCCGAUGGGCUCAAAAUGAACAUGCUUCAGCUAGUGUUAUUACCGGUAUUGUGGUAAAAAAAAAAGUGUUUAUUCUGAUCAACAGUCUCUGUGAUAAAGGAAACUCUCCCUUAUACUUUUUUUGUGGUGCAAAAAGGUGAGUAAACUAGGUUUAUCCUCCACUAAAAAACUUUAUACUGCCAUAUUGUCUGGGGUGGAACAUGAAACAUUCAAAUGUAACAUAAUAUACAUAUACAGUCUCUUUUACAUUUGAUAGAGAUAUUCCAUUGUUUUCCUUUUAACUAGUUGAUGAGAAAAAACAUAAAACAUAAAAAAUGUAUCUACAGCAAUUACCAUGGCCAAGAAUAAUCACAAAUACAAAACAUAGUAAUAAAUAGAAUCUCAUUGUUGUAUUUGCUUUUGAGAAAAUGCCACUAAACCAUUACAACUACCUAAUUGUAGCUUUCGGUAGGACGGAAGAACUACUAGAGUUUGUAGCUACAGGCAGUCAAGCGCAUUGAAUGGGUUAUGUGGAUUUGUCUUAAAUGUGCAUACUUUAUUGACUAGCUGUGAUGAUUUGAGGUUGUUUUAAGGCAACAUUUUGAUGCUCCACUGUUCCAGAACUACAGACUGGAUGCAAUGGAGCUUUCAGAUGAUUUGUGUGAUUAUGAUAAGGGUUAAGGUUUAAUUUCUUUAUUCAUAUUAAAUAUUUUUUUAUUUACUCCCUACAAUACAUUCAAUUGCAUUAGUAAGGACAACUUUGACUGUGCUUGGGAUUGGCAUUCUAAAUAAUUUUCUACCUCAGAAAUGUAUGCAAUUUGUGUUCGGCAGACAAUACGUGGUAAAGAGGUAAAAUCGAAGAUAGGAUGCUAUAACUUCAUCAUUGCCGCACAGUCAAGAAAUCUGGUGUAAGAAAGUUGGUAUUUGUGAAAUAUAAAUAGUUUGUACAUUGCAACAAUUAAUUGAAUAUACAGUACAUUUUGGUGAAUUUUACUACAUAAUAUUUAGAAGUUGUACCAUUUCAGUUUUUCUUAUUUUUGUUAGAAUGAGUUGGUAGCAGCUAGCACAGAGAAGUCAUGGUGGGAGUUAAGAUAAUCUUAAAUGCAACAUACAACUGAUGGUUUUUGGAGGGAAAUUAGGAAAUGUAGGAUCUUUGCCUACAUCUUUUCCUCACAGCAUUUGUUUCUUAAUUGCAUUUCCAUUGUUUUAAUGAAAAUUCCACUGAACUCUACCAAAUCUAUCGACCUUCAGCUAACUAACCUACGAUGUUUCGAUGCAUUGUUUGACAAAAAUGAUUAAUAGAGGUAUUAAACCAUUCCAGCAGAUUUUCAGCAGUACUUUUGCAACGGUAAAAU